CACACAUACAACUCAAAAACCAUUCAUUUGCUAGUGCUAUAGAGUUUCGACUAACGUUAAGUCAUGGUGGGAGGAGGAAGUAAACCGACAAAAACUGGAGAAGGAAGUAAACCGAAGGCCACUAAAAAUGAUGCAAAUGCAUAUCUAAUGGCUGUGAAGAAUACAUUUCAUAAUGAGCCUGAUAAAUAUGACGAUUUUAUAGCAAUCAUGACCAAAUUUAAAGCUCGGAAACUUGAUAGGAAUGCUUGCAUUGGAGAGGUCAAGGAACUGCUUAAAGGACAUCGAGACUUGAUUUCGGGUUUUAAUGUAUUCUUGAUCGAUGAUUGGUAUAACUUAGAGGGUAGGUGAUGUAGCUUGUGAUUCAUUAUCUUUCUUCAUUUGGGAGCCAUGUAUUAGAUUUAGCCAUUAUAGGCUUAUAAAUAACGUUAUAAGAUAUAUGUUCUUUCCAAAUAUAUAUAUGCAUCAAUCUUUUCUCAACUA